CAAUCCAAUUCAACAAACUUUUAUUAUCUUUAAAUGUUUUUUAAGCAAUUUGAUUGUUUUUGUUUCUUGCAGGUUAUAUUAGUCAGUGGAAAAUUCUGAGUCCAUGUAAUUAAGCUACCGCAAACUACAAUGUUGAAGCUAGCAUAUUGAAUUGUUUGGAAGAGCCUCUUCUAUUCACUUGGUGAUCAUCUUUAAGGAUGUUUUAGCUUCUUUAGUUCUCUGUUUUAGUACUGCAGAUUUCUAGGCUUCUUGUGAUUACUGACAUUGUUUCUUUUUGGUCCAGACACAAUCAAAUCAUCAUUCUACGAGGUCAAGAAGCUGCUCAACUCUAAACAUCUCUUCUUUAAGGAGAGGAGAUGUAUGCUUAUCACAACCGCUGCAGCCAUCUCGACAACUGCGUCAGGUUACGAGUCAGCAUCGUCUGGAGCAGCAUCACUGUUUUACGUGGCGGAGUCAGGAAACUGGAGAGAUUCGCAGGGAGUGAGGAAGAGGAAGAGUCGGAAAUGGCGGAGGGUUCAGAGUCUGAGACAGAGGAGACGAGCAAGAAGCAGAUGAGAGUGGAAGGAGUAUCCGCGGAGGUGAAGAAGAUGAGAGAGGAAGCAAGUGUAGGAUGAUCCGGUGAAGAUCAUGUGUGAGAAUAAGGAGUUGAUGAGGAGGAAGGCAUUGGAGCUGAAGGAGAGGAAAAUUGGGUACGAGUGGAGGCGGUGGAGAUGGAGAAGCAGAGAGUGAGGUGGAUGAGAUAGAGUAGCAAGAAAGAGAAAGCAAAUGGAUAAGGUUAACCGUUAAGCUAGAGAACUUGCGAGGAAGGCUUGAAAUGGAAAGGAUGGUUCUGAUUAUGAGGUGAAGAGAUAUUGAGUUGGCGGAGUUAAAGUCGUUGUGUAAACAUGUUGCAACCGAUUACUAUCGAUAUAAUCAGCAAAGUCAAAACGUAUUUGCAUGAUUGAUUCGAACAGAUUAAGCAUAUUUAUAAUUAUAUUUUCCUGAGUUUGGUGCAGAAUAUUUCAAACAAAAAAUUAGUUAAAAUAUGUAAUAUAACCUAAUAAUUAGUUAAAAUUUAAAAAUAUUAAGAAAAAUCGAGUUUUUAAAAUUAAAUAGAAACGGAGCUACCGUCUAAUAAAUAGAUUGUAGUACUGCAUUAUGAGGAGACGAGCAAGAAGCAUGUUACUCUCCAUUUUAGAUCAAUUAAUAUAAUUAAGUUUUUUGAAUCAAAAAAAUCAAAUAAAGAGUAAUUGAAAUUUUAUGAAAACCCACAAAGAUAAAAGAGUUUAUAGUUAAAGCUAAAUGUUUUAAAAUCUACAUAAAUAAAUUAUUAACACAUAAUAUAAUGAAAAUGUAGUGAAAUACAUAACAUAGCCAAAAAUACUUAAUAUAACAAAAUAUAUACAUAAAAAUAAGCUAAAAAAUAAAAAUAAUUUACAGAUUAAAAAAUAAAAAAAUUAAUCCAACAACUUAUUGCUUAUUUUACAUUUCAUUAAUUUAAAGUCACCAAAAAUUUUAAAAGAGUGAAUUUAACUAUUUUCGAUCAUUUAGCUCAAGCUGAAGAAACUAUAGGAAAACCACAAAAAGUACAUAAUCAGAAUAUAUAUUUCAAGAAAUAAUUUUGAAAUACUCUCCAUUUCAGAUCAAUUAAUAUAAUUUAGUUUCUUUAAUCAAAAAAUCAAACAAAGAGUAGUUGAAAUUUUAUGAAAACCAACAAAGAUAAAAGAGCUUAUAGUUAAAGCUAAAUGUUUUUAAUUUCUACAUAAAUAAAUUAUUAACACCUAAAAUAAUUAAAUUUAGUGAAAUACAUAACAUAACCAAAAAGACUUAAUAUAACAAAAUAUAUACAUAAAAAUAACCUAAAAAUAAAAAACAAAUUUGCAGACAAAAAAAUAAUAAUAAGAAAUUUAAUCCAACAACUUAUUGCUUAUUUUACAUUUAAAAAGUCACCAAAAUUUUUAAAAGAGUGAAUUUAACUAUUUUCGAUCACUAAACUCAAGCUGAAGAAACUAUAAAAUAUUGAGAGAAAUCCGCGAAAUUACAUAAUCAUAAUAUAUAUUUCAAGAAAUAGUCUUGAAAUACUCUCCAUUUUAGAUCAAUUAAUAUAAUUUAGUUUUUUUAAUCAAAAAAUCAAACAAAGAGUAAUUGAAAUUUUAUGAAAACCCACAAAGAUAAAAGAGUUUAUAGUUAAAGCUAAAUGUUUUCAAAAUCUACAUAAAUAAAUUAUUAACACAUAAAAUAAUUAAAAUUUAGUGAAAUACAUAACAUAGCCAAAAAUACUUAAUAUAACAAAACAUAUACAUAGAAAUAAGCUAAAUAAAAAAAAUUAAUCCAACAACUUAUUACUUAUUUUACAUUUCAUUAAAGAAAAGUCACCAAAAUUUUUAAAAGAGUGAAUUUAAUUAUUUUCGAUCAUUAAACUCAAGCUGAAGAAACUUAUAAAAUAUUGAAGAAAACCACGAAAAGUACAUAAUCAGAAUAUAUAUUUCCAAAAAUAAUCUUUAAAAUAACAAAAUAUAACAUAAAAAUGAAAAAUAAAAAAUAAAAACUUAUUUUCAUGAUAUAAACAAAAGAUUAAGGUGACUAUAGCUACUUAUAUUUUUAUACUAUAUUCUAAAAUUUAUAUAUUAAAAUAAACAUACUAAAUAUAUAAUCAAAAUUAAAAUUUAAACAAAAACCCAGGCGUAGCCCGGGCCGACCCUAGUAUCUAAUACUAUAAAGAAAAGCGUGACUCUCUUCUCCUUCAUCCACGUAAGUAAAUAGAUUAUUGAGAGCUUGACACGUGUCUAUCUCUCUAAUGGACUUCAAUAUUAUUUUGGUUUGUCAUGUUAAAGGGUUCGAACGUUUGGGCUAUGAAAAAUUCACAGACAAGGUCACGACGUUCUCUUUCUUCGAUGAUGUCGACUUUAGAUUAGGAUCUCCUUUAGAUUAGGGCUCUUCGUUUUCUCAAGCACGAAAAGGGGCAACAAUGGGGAUUCUGGAAUCUAUGUGUCGAUCUACGUUCCUGGCGUUUCGUCUGUGGUUCAUCUUCCCCAUUCAUCACAAGAUGAAUCACGAUUCAUCAUUCAAUGCUCCUUAUCUCUCAUUCCAGGCGGUGGAAUUCAAUCUAUAAAAAGGUCCAUCUCCAUCCCAUAAAUAUCAUCCUCACCAUCUUACUUAUCUCACGAGAGAAACUUCGUUUCUUUUUUUGACAUCGAGCUAAACUUCUUUCAGUAUUAUACGUAACUCAUUUGUCAUACUCUCUGAUUUGAAAGCGGAUCGUUGUUCUUCCACCUUGGAUGUCCGACUUUUCAGGCUUAUGGGUUUCAUGGCCGAGAGUUUCAGUCCUUAACAAAAGAAGCUUUCAUCAUCAUCCUAGAUUCUUAUUAAUGUCAAUCAGUAAGUAAACUUUUCCUUUUCCGUUCUUCCCGUCCACAUGGAAUUUACAUUCUACAUUUUUAAAAUUUUGCAUCUGUGUUUGACGAUUGAAAAUCAGAAUCCGAUUUCAAUCUAUGGAUCUGAAAUCAAGCGCUGGCGAUUGAAAAAUGUUGUAUGGUAAAACUCCAGAUUAUUUUAUGUAUAGAAGAUAAUGCUCCCACGUUCUUUAUGGACGUGUGUCAAAUUCGCAAUUCUUCAGCAUACCAAUAAGCCGAGAAAGCCUUGGGAAGGAUCCAAAGAAAACAGGUUACGUAAGAAUCAGUGGUAUCAGCGUCUAAAUCUUUUCGCUCUCUUAUUUAUAUUAUGGGAUUAUAUUGACACACAGAAACAAAAAAAGAGUCGAUAGGCAGAGGAAAGAAAAACGGAACAGAGAUGAGGAUUUUACAUAGAUCCACUUCUUGCUCUGUUCUUCUUAUUCUUCUCUUGGUCUGUUCACAAAUUUAAAAAUGAUUGGCUUAUCUUCGUAAUGGGGGUUGAAGAAUAUUCACAGGCCACAGCUUUGAUAAGAAAUGAUCCAAGUUUUUAUUUUAUUCAAGAUUUAUGGUCUUUCACGUUUACCAAAAAAAUUUAAGAAUCUACAACCAAUUAAGUUUCUUCAUCUCUUUUAUUAAGAUCUUGAAGAUAUACAUAGAUGAACAUCCCAUUUUUAUUAAUGUUGAUACACUCUCUUAUGUGUACAUAAGCUCUAACAGAUGACUUCUCCGAAACAUUUUUUUUAAAAGGGUAAAAGAUUCAAUCUCUUGCUUUUUAUUUAUGAUUUAGACAAGAUCGUAUAUAUAUUUGGUGUGAUAGUCUUAUCGUUGUUCUUUAUAUUGUUUCAACAUAAUCCUCAUAAAUAUUUUUAUUUCUUUGAACUAUUAGCUGGUGUAUGUAGUAAAAACCCUCCCAAAAGCAAAACAAGUGGUUGAAACAUCCAUCAAACACUUGCAUACUCUGAAUUCUAAAGUGUUUAUAAGGCAGGUGGUCAAGAAGUUAACCAAAGACAGUUAUGGUCUAAGGAAUGUAGAGAACAUCAACCACAGAUUACAAAGUUGUAACCCGGUGACCAAUCAAUUAUGAACUUUAAUAGCAUUUUUAGUUAAAAUAAAUUAAAAUUUUUAACUAAAUUUAUAUUAUCAGUUUAUUUA